GGAGAGGUGGCAGAGCGGUUGAUUGCACCGGUCUUGAAAACCGGCGAGGUGUCAAAGCCUCCGAGGGUUCGAAUCCCUCCCUCUCCGCCA
rnacentral:tRNA from 1 species